rnacentral:tRNA from 1 species
ACUUCGAGUGACUGGGGAUGGGCGAUUGAUCCAACCGGGCUGAGAUAUACGUUAAAUCGUUUUUAUGACCGAUACCAAAUCCCGUUAUU